rnacentral:rRNA from 1 species
GUAACGGCGAGUGAAGCGGUAACAGCUCAAAUUUGAAAUCUGGCCUCACGGUCCGAGUUGUAAUUUGUAGAGGAUGCUUCGAGCAUGGUCUGGCCUAAGUUCCUUGGAACAGGACGUCAUAGAGGGUGAGAAUCCCGUAUGCGGCCAGGUGCCUACGCUCAUGUGAAGCUCCUUCGACGAGUCGAGUUGUUUGGGAAUGCAGCUCAAAAUGGGUGGUAAAUUUCAUCUAAAGCUAAAUAUUGGCCAGAGACCGAUAGCGCACAAGUAGAGUGAUCGAAAGAUGAAAAGCACUUUGGAAAGAGAGUUAAACAGUACGUGAAAUUGUUGAAAGGGAAGCGCUUGCAACCAGACUUGCGCGCGGCCGAUCAUCCGGUGUUCUCACCGGUGCACUCGGCCGUGCUCAGGCCAGCAUCGGUUUUGGCGGCUGGAUAAAGGCCCUAGGAAUGUGGCUCCUCUCGGGGAGUGUUAUAGCCUAGGGUGCAAUGCAGCCUGCUGGGACCGAGGACCGCGCUUCGGCUAGGAUGCUGGCGUAAUGGUUGUAAGCGGCCCGUCUUGAAACACGGACCAAGGAGUCUAACAUCUAUGCGAGUGUUUGGGUGUCAAACCCAUACGCGUAAUGAAAGUGAACGGAGGUGAGAACCCUUAAGGGUGCAUCAUCGACCGAUCCUGAUGUCUUCGGAAGGAUUUGAGUAAGAGCAUAGCUGUUGGGACCCGAAAGAUGGUGAACUAUGCCUGAAUAGGGUGAAGCCAGAGGAAACUCUGGUGGAGGCUCGCAGCGGUUCUGACGUGCAAAUCGAUCGUCAAAU